AACGAACGCUGGCGGCAGGCCUAACACAUGCAAGUCGAACGCUCCGCAAGGGGAGUGGCGCACGGGUGAGUAACGCGUGGGAAUCUACCUAUUAGUAAGGAAUAACAGUUGGAAACGACUGCUAAUACCUGAUACGCCCUACGGGGGAAAGAUUUAUCGCGAAUAGAUGAGCCCGCGUAAGAUUAGCUAGUUGGUGAGGUAAUGGCUCACCAAGGCUACGAUCUUUAGCUGGUCUGAGAGGAUGAUCAGCCACACUGGAACUGAGACACGGUCCAGACUCCUACGGGAGGCAGCAGUGGGGAAUAUUGGACAAUGGGCGAAAGCCUGAUCCAGCCAUGCCGCGUGAAUGAUGAAGGCCUUAGGGUUGUAAAGUUCUUUCGCCGCCGAGGAUAAUGACGGUAAGCGGAUAAGAAGCCCCGGCUAACUUCGUGCCAGCCGCCGCAGUAA
rnacentral:rRNA from 1 species